GUUUGAAUGAUGAUUAAAACUUUCGUUCUUCUUAGAUCCUAUGCUGAAAAAACGGAGACCUGAUCUGAUCAGCA
rnacentral:snoRNA from 1 species